CGCCUAAAACCGUAACGUUGUGCAUCUCCCUACUGAUCUCUGAAAUUACACAGCAACAGAAUUGAAUUGUUCUCUUCCGUCUCUGCGAAAUCGAAGGGAUACACGUCAGCUGGGCCAACGUGUUUUUUUCCAAUAAUACCUGAGAUCAAAAAUAAAACGUAAAGCAUUAUACUCCAGAUCGCAAACUCUGCACAUCAUCAAAGGAAUUAAAAUGAUGAACACCUUGAUGAAGUCCAUACAUCCCAUUCUGAUGACUAGGCAUUCCCGUCAGUAUAGCUGAACGACUAUGCAAUGAGAAUUAUUAGUUUAAUAUUUAAUAAUUAACUAAUUCAUUAACAUC